rnacentral:rRNA from 1 species
UACGUAGGGCGCAAGCGUUGUCCGGAAUUAUUGGGCGUAAAGAGCUCGUAGGCGGCCUGUUACGUCUGCUGUGAAAUCCCGGGGCUUAACCCCGGGCGUGCAGUGGAUACGGGCAGGCUGGAGGCAGGCAGGGGAGAACGGAAUUCCCGGUGGUAGCGGUGAAAUGCGCAGAGUAUCGGGAGGAACACCGGUGGCGAAGGCGGUUCUCU